rnacentral:rRNA from 1 species
AGAGUUUGAUCCUGGCUCAGGAUGAACGCUAGCGGCGGGCCUAAUACAUGCAAGUCGCGCGGGAGGCUUCGGCCAAGAGCGGCGCACGGGUGCGUAACGCGUGUGCGACCUACCUCAGCCUGGGGGAUAGCCCUGCGAAAGCGGGAUUAAUACCCCAUAGUAUGGAGAGACUGCCUGGUUUUUCCAUUAAAGUUCAGGCGGGCUGAGAUGGGCACGCGUGCCAUUAGCUAGUUGGCGGGGUAACGGCCCACCAAGGCUACGAUGGCUAGGGGUUCUGGGAGGAUGGUCCCCCACACUGGUACUGAGACACGGACCAGACUCCUACGGGAGGCAGCAGUAGGGAAUAUUGGUCAAUGGGCGCAAGCCUGAACCAGCCACGCCGCGUGCGGGAGGAAGGCGCUAUGCGUCGUAAACCGCUUUUGUUGGGGAAGAAACCUCUCUUUAAGAGAGCUGACGGUACCCAAAGAAUAAGGACCGGCUAACUCCGUGCCAGCAGCCGCGGUAAUUC